CUGGGCACCAACCCUGUGGGCUGAAGUCAAUCUGCAUGUAGGAACCUCCCAGUUUCUUCUGUAAAAUGGGAAAACAGCACCUUCUCUGCAUCUCUCAGACUUGUGUGGAGGUGUUCAGAGGAAAACGCAAGUGGCCAUAUGCUGUUUCAGACAUGAGAUCCACUCCUGCCCAUCUGUGUCUUGCCAGCCAUUGACUGUGAGCUCACCGAGUGGUCUCAGUGGUCGGAAUGUAACAAGUCCUGUGGGAAAGGCCACAUGAUUCGAACCCGGAUGAUCCAAAUGGAGCCACAGUUUGGAGGUGCACCCUGCCCAGAGACCGUGCAACGAAAAAAAUGCCGUAUCCGGAAAUGCCUGAGAAAUCCAUCCAUCCAGAAGCUGCGCUGGAGAGAGGCCCGAGAGAGCCGGCGGAAUGAGCAGCUGAGGGAAGAGUCUGGAGGCGAGCAAUUCCCAGGUACUGCUCCCAAGCCUGAAGCUGGAGUUGGGGGGGGGAGGAAUGUCAAAACAGGGGAAGUGGGUCUUGAAAAUUGAUAGGGGUUUGCGAGUUGAAGGCAUCCCCAGCAGCAGGGACAGGGCUCGCCACGGCACAGAAAUGCCACAGAGUGUAAGAUGGUCAAUAAAUAGGGGGCAGAUGCAGCAGAGUACAAGGGGAGAGGCAGGAAACCUGGAGACGUGAGGACCAGACCAUAAGCCUGCUGAGGUUUUGAGACUUGAUCCUGUGAGAAGUUCUAAGCAGGAGUGACUUAACACACCUGUGUUGAGGUGGCAAAAACAGAGGCCACUUCUGUUUGUAGCCCAGGAAAAAGAGUGUGUCCCCUACUCUGGCACUAAAAAAACAACAAAAACCUGGAGCUUCACUGUUGAAUAAGCUGGUCCACAAGCAAAGACUACAAUGUCAUUAUUUCAUACUUUUGCCAGUGACAGAUUCAUGGUUCAGCCUUUGGUACAGACUGAUUGAUGGUGUUUGGAUUCUCUGGAGUGGGUGAGAAAGGUGUCAUGUUUGAAGGUUAAUAGGUACACUGUGUUGCUAUUUUAAAAGGCACAGCUCAAUUUACCCCACAUUCUCUUCCCUAAGGCCUUUCACCCUGACAGGACAGAGAAAUACAGAUCUGAAGAGCCACCUGAUCGUUCACUGUCCGUUAAGGAGAGGUGUGCAUAUCAAAGUGCUAUCUGUUGGGACAGGGUAGUCAGCCAUUCAAGAAAUGGUGAUUAAGCCCAACUAUGUGCCAGGCAGACACUGUGCCAUGGCCUUCUCCUCCAUAAAACUUAGCAUAGUAAACGUGCCUGGUUGUACAAGAGUAAUGUGGAGGAUCUUGAAAACAUUUUUUGAAAAGAUCUCCUCUAACCUGAGUCAGGUUAAGUUUUAAGGCAAGCAUGUUUAUCUGUGUAGGGAAAUUAAUCACACUUGAAUGUAUUUAGGAGACCACGUACCUGGGGAGCAAAGCAUUAGGAUAAAGUGGUUUAAUUGCUCGAGUGCUAACUGCCAUCACCAAGCCACCCCAAAACUACUAGGAUUCUGCAGGUCCGUGGCAGGAGCUGGCUCAGCUAGGUGGGUCUUCUGAGGUCUUGCUGAGACUCCUGUAGCUCCUGACAACUGGAGGCUCGGCUGGGGCUAGAAGGUCUAGACCGGCCUCACCUGCACUUCUGGGGCCUCAGAAAGACUGGCUGGACUCUCUCGCCACACGUUCUCUCCAGCAGUCUAGCCAAGCUUGCUGACAUGGUGGGGGCGGGGGGUUUCCUACCAGCCUUUUCCAGCCUGCUUGCUCAUGUCCCAUUGGCCAAAGCAAGUCAAACAGCCAAGCCCAGAUUCCAGAGGUGGCAAUGUGGACUCUGCCCCUUGAUGGGAAAUGCUGCAACAGCAUUAUGGACACAUAGGGGUUGACAGUCUCUAAUGAGGGCCCUAACCAUUAUUAAACUCAACCCAUCAUUCCAUACAAGAGCAGGGAAGCCCAGACAACUCCGUUUCAUAGCUGUGACCUGGAGUUCAGCAUUCAGUUUGGUCCCGCCAUUUCUGCUGGCCUAACCUGACCUCCUGCUUCCAGGCUGCAGGAUGCGCCCGUGGACAGCCUGGUCGGAAUGCACCAAACUGUGCGGUGGUGGGAUCCAGGAACGCUACAUGACCGUCAAGAAGAGGUUCAAAAGCUCCCAGUUUACCAGCUGCAAGGACAAGAAGGAGAUCAGAGCGUGCAAUGUUCACCCUUGUUAACAAGGGUGUAAGUUUUCCGGGGCUGCACCCUGGCUUGCACAGUCAUCGAUGGCUGGAGUGUGUGUUUGCUUGUUGUUUAAGGCAAUUUAAAUUGUAUACAUUAGUUUUCAUUUCUGCAGUGUGGUUCGCCCACCAGUCUUGUUGAUGCCAGGGACUUCCUUUCUGUCUGCUUCUUGGUAUGCAGAGGCUGCGUGGGGCUCCCUCAUCCCCAGAUGGCCCUCCUCCAGCACAGAAGUGAGUAGUGUCAGCUACCUGUACUGGAUGGACAUGUGUCCCUCUGGAGCACCCACCUGGGCAGCCGAUACAAGCCUGGCCCCCUCCACAGGGAGCGGCAGCCAGGUGUGAAAGGGAUUUCCAUGCCUCGGUCCCAGGGUGCAGUGGGGAGGAAACAGUCCUGCUCACACGGAGAGCGCAGAUUCCCCUCACUCUUGUCUUUGGCCUGCUUGCUCUUGUAGGAACCUCGUUUGCCCAUCUCUUUUCAUUUAGUGGAAUUUAGGGUCCCUUGUUGAGUCUCCUCCGUCAUCAACAGUUAUUGGGGAACAAAGAGGUGGUAGAUGUGAAGUGCAUUGAUGUAGAGUGGCUUUUCUUUCAGAAAUGUAUCUCCCCUCCUAAUAUUGGUUCCUGAUACCCCAGAGAAAAGAAACUUUGGCUGCUUUAUUGGAAUUUAAGGUUGCCACUUCUUACACCUGAGGUAAAAGGUACUAAGUCUAGAAAGUACCUUUCCCUAGCUUUUUUUUUGGGGGGGGGGCACAAUUCUCCUAAGGACGCCAGCCUUAUAAACUUAUAAACCUUCUGACAUUACAUCCUUACUAGGACCCAGGCAGCAAAACUGGCCUCUCUAGAGGAGUCCCAAACCUACGCUUUUAAAAUCUUCUGACACGCAUCUAGAAUUUAAGUUUUCAAACCAGUUCUACCAAAAUAUCUUUUAGUUAUACAUCAGCUGCCUGCAUCCCACCAAGCCAUUGCUUCAACAAAAAAUACUAUCUUUGUACGUUAAAAGGUGUUUUUUUUCUUUUUUAGUCCUAAAGUUUUAUAUGUAGAAAGAAAAAGUGUUUCAGAGACCAAGAAAGAAAGCUAGGGAGAAAGGUAUUAUUACAGAAUCAGGCUGGGUAAGAAUAUCUGGUGGGAAGCCAAAUUCACCUCAGCUUUCCACAGUGGGGCUCUGGGCCCUCCAUCACCUGCAUAGGAAAGGCCACGGUUUUCCAUCCCCUUCCAAGCACUCAUACGCACCAAAUUCAGGGAUUCUGACUACCAGGAAUUCGUGUAAAAGGACAUUUUACUGAGCUGAGUCUAGCAGCAGUUUUUACUUAUUCAUUUAUUGUUAAAACUGUUUCAUUUCUGUUGCAGGUUUUCAUUAUGCUUAAUCCAAAUAUGUAUCCCGGAUGAGAUGCAUACGUGGUUUUGAAUACACUACUUUAAGAAUUUGCAUUAAACCCAUCAGGAUGUCUCCAAACACAACAUACAUAUGAUAUAGCCCUGAAUCUGUAUUUUCUUUAACAUCAAAGACCGUUCAAUAAAAAAAAACUCAUUUGGGUCUGUCUGCUGUGUUUUUAAACUAAGUGUUCAGGAGGUUGGGACUUCUUGCAGUUAUCUGCCUGAAUCAUAUGCAGCAAAAAGACAGGGUUUCUGGUCCCUCAUUCAAGAGGGGCCAUUAUUACCAACCAACACAGCCCUGAGUCUUCUGGAACUUUCAGUUUCCAGUAUUAUUUUUGUGAUCCUUAAAUGGACUGCUUUCUCACCUCACGAAGGAGUGUAACAUAAGGAAAUAAGAGGUUUCAUUUGGACAAAAAGUCUUGAUACAGAACCCGCCUGCUUAUGUAUUCCUCUCAGCCACCUGGAGGCAGAUAUCCACCCCAUGAAAAUCAAAGGUCAAGUCAGUGAUUCCUAAGUAAGUAAGGACAAGCCACCCUAGUGUCCCAUGUUCUUAUCAGGUCUCUAUUGGAUACAUUUUUAAUAUUAAUUUUGGAGACUUAAAACCAAGUAACUGAAUAAGGGCUAAGAAUGGGUAACAUGCGUCUUGUUAUGUGUUAUUUCUUUUGGUUGCAAGGAAUUUAUAGGAAGCAUCAAAUCUCUUUCUUACCAGAGUCUUGGGUUAGGUAGUUUAUAGUUUUUCUGGCUAGGCAGUCAUUUUGGAAAUAAAGACUUUACUAUAAAAAUGAAAUUGUUUCAACUUCCACUUGGGAUAAUAAACAGAUGAGACACCCAGUAAAAACCGCCAUAUAAAGAGGAGCUAUAAUUGUUGUAUAUAUUUACAUCCACAUUUUAAGAUGACAAUAAAUUCAGAGAUCUAUUCCCCAACCAGACCAUGGGUCACUCACCUGAAACCUUCCUUGCUGAUGCAUUAAUUGAAGGAAGUCUGUUGUAGCUAAAGAGAAAAAGCCUGCACUUUUUCAGACCCAGAACUGAAAAAAAUUAAAGAUUUUGUACUAUGUGUGUAAUUUAAACUUUGUGUAUUAAACAUGUUUUAGGCUCACUCCAGUCUGUAUACUUCUUCUGGGAAGUGAGAGUACAUGACACAUUCUCACAGAACUACAAUUCUCCAGAAACUGAGUCCAGGUCAAGUCCAUGACUAAAAGGUCCAUACACAACAAAUAUCUAAUGCUGUGACCUAACAGCCCACAUAUUUCAGGCAACAGUUUCAAGGGGCUAAAUAUUACAGUGUCCCAGGACUGUAUGCUUAGUCCCUUCUUCCCCAAAGAAAAGGACACUAUUGUCCAAAUAAGAGUAAACAUAAAUGUUCAAUCCCUAAUUACCACAUGGAAUGAUUCGUUUUGUUCUUCAUGUUGCCCAAAAGUAGGGAGGAUGAGUGAAAUAAGUCCCUUUCGAAAAUGAGUGAAAUGCUGUGACAAACUAUAAAUAGCGGCUGGAUGCUAAUGAGCAUGAAGAUAAUUCUUCCAUUUGAAUCCUUUGAAAUCUGUGAGUAAAAGAUCUGUACUAAAAUGUCAAAUUUAAAUAAUGGCGUCCCUGCUGUAGACCCCUUUGGUUCAAGAGGUUUUAGGCACUCUGUGGGCCAGCACUGGGAAGCUGUGUUUAAAACACUGGUGUGGUCCUGAGUUGCUGAGAGAGCUGGGGCCAGGAAUGUCACCUUUUCUGGCUCAGGCUUUGACAGCAGCAGGCUUCUGUGAAAGGACUCCUCUGCCCCACCUCCCCAGUUCAGCCAAUUCUCACCUUGGGAGCGAGUCUGAUGGCAUCCAACGGAGGAGUCGCUGGAUGCCAGCCUUGCCCCACCAGUCCCUCAUAUCUUCGUAAACCAGCAAAGGCCCACGUUGUGCAGAAGCUGGCCUGAGCUGCGUUUCUGUCAUUUAUAACUGAAAAUGUCCUGACAAAUAAAAUACACAUGCAAUACUUUUAACCCAGCUCUCCUCAGACCAAAAUGCAAUUUCAGAUUUUUCUCUUAACAUUUACAAUGUUGAACAUAAGAUAGCAUUCAUUAACAUUUUCUCAUAUUGCUCUAAGUGCUUCAUGAAAUUCAGAAUGUGUUCUUAACCACUUCCUGGCUUUAGAACUGGUAAAGUUCUCGUAUUUUAGCAGUUCUCAUAUUUAAGUUAACCGUUCUCAUAUUUUAGCUUACGUGUUUGAAAGGUUUUCCUUUACUCCAAAUAAUUUGAAGUAUUACCAGAAGGGAAAAAGACAAACAGCUUAUUCAAGACUACUGACUCCUUUACAACACUUGGGGUUUUAUCAAAGUAGGGUCUGUAUAUUCUUCUGUAAAAAAAGGAGAGUCUGUAUUUUAGAGGCAAGCAACCCUACUGCGUGAUCUUUCCGUGGAACCCCUGGCCCAUCUGGGAAGGCUGAAGGAGCACUGGUGGAAAACACCUGGAUCCGCUCCCUUACGCACUGUGCUAGCACAGCCUGAGAGCUUCCACCACCUGUUACCGUCCUACGAUGAUACAAAAAUUGAAAGCAGAUGUUCAGAAACGUUUCCAGUGAUUGCCAGUAUAGCCAAGAGGAUGAUUACUUUUCUAAGUAGCUGAUUUCUUUAAGUUACAUUUAGCAAGGCUAUCAUUCCACAGCAGCAGAGAGGAGUUAAUUCUUCAAACUGGCCAUUCACCUCAGCCGGUCGGAGAAGCAAGCACAGAACCACGCCAUGCUCGCUGCCCCAUCAGAAAUGGAUACUGGCCCGCAAAGUGUCAGCCUCUAGAUCUCUCCAGAGCCUAAGUGUCCACAUGGCAAUACAUACUUACAGACUUGUACACCUACCUACCUAUGAUUAGGUACCAGGCCCUGGCUCUUCCUGCUCCUCUAACAUCCUAUCAAGGAAGAGAACAGCCCCAUCACCCUCUGAUUUUGCCACAGAACUUCCCAGAAUGGUAGCCCACACGUCUUCCACUUCCUUGCACUCCAAUCACACCACGACCACUAUAAUCUGGUUCCUGCCAGAUGACGGACACAAAACCUUCCAAGUUACCAGCAAGCAUCUACGCAACCACACUGCCUCUUACCCUUCUGCACCUCCCCCUCUCCGCCACCACCCCAGUCUUUUACAGCCCUCCGCUCUGGCCACCCCUUUGGCUUCUUUGACAAUAAUCUCCUGGUUCUCUCCAGUUUCUGACUGCUUCUCUUGGGUUUUUGCUGCCUUUUAAGCUUUUAUCCCCAAGUGUUCGUUUUCCCCCUGGAAGUUUUACCCAUGGAUCUUCUCUCAAACUCUACUUCCAUCCACUCCCGCCUGUUCAAACAUCAGCUCAAAACAGAUAAAUUCCAAAUCUGCACUUGCAGUCCUAGCCUCUUUCUGCAGCUCCAAUCCCCAUUCCCAAAUGCCUCCGGGACUAACCCCUGUACAUAACCGCCACAAUCACCAUACAUUUCUAUCACCAGAGGGUUGCCCGUGUGUCCUCUUCAUUGAUCAAAUGGUUUUUCUGCAAAUGCCAGGCAAGGGGGGUAAAGCUGUGUACGUGGCACACAUGGUUCUGCCCUCUCAGAGCCUGUGACACCCAAGUGCAGAUGAGACAAGACAGACAAAAUACUCACAGAUGCCUCCGUGUCACUAAGUAAAUACAGGGCAAUGUGGUCAAAGAGAGCUCUCUGAGCAGGUGGCAUCUAAAUUAAAAGCAAAAGAAUGAAACAGCUAAUUGGAACAGUCAAGUGAAUCAACGGUCUGGGAGAUACUAGCAUCCUAUAGAGUGUAAAAAAGCAAAUCAGCCUGAAUGUGAGAAGCAAGGAGAUGACAGAUCCUGCAAGGGGCUGUCUCUGUGCACUAUGGUAAGGAAUUUGGGUACUGGUCCAAGUGCAUUGAGGUGAUGACAGAUUUUAAGCAGCAGUGGAACAUUUAAUUUAUGGCCUGUAUUUACAGAACAGCUUUGUGGGGGCAAAAUGCAAAUAAAAAGACUACUUCAAAGGCCAUUGCAAUAACAUGGAUGGCAGAACAAAUUGGAAAGAGACAGAUUUCAUGACUCCAAUUACCUCUUACCUGACCACUCUUCCCUAAACCUGCACUUCUCCAUCAUUCAUAUUCCCACCCGAUCCAGCCACUCCCUGUUCAGAAUCCUUGGCAGUUCCCCAUUACCUACAGAAGGGCCAUCCUAUUUAAAGCUCUCCACAACCCGAGCCCAGUCUACUUUAUCAUUAUUUUUCCCCACUGCACUUCAAAUCCUUUUAGAUUAAGGUUUCAAUCCCAGAAUACUCCCUGCAUUCUGCCAAAAUGUGUCUUUGCCUAGGCUUUUCCCCAGCCUUUCCACCACCUCACUCCUCUCCUCUCCUCCCCAUCUCAAAUCCCACCAAUCCAUCAAGCUCUGGCUAAAGCACCACUUCUAACUAAGAGGCUCCCUCAGAUUUUCCAGAAAGAACAUAUACCAUCUGCUGGACCGGACAGCUUUGUGCACACUUACUCUGCCUACACUACAGCCCUGGCAUUUGUUUUCUCACUCAUAAUCCUUCUCCACUAGAUACCAAAUAGUUUGUAGGAAGAAAAAGCUCCACAUGUAUCUAUUUCCCCCAGAACAGCUAAUGAGCCUUGCACAAAGACAUUUGUUCAAAUUAAAAUACCUUGUUUCUAAAAAGCUCCUUGAAGCUUUCCAUGCAGUUACUGGUUAAAUACUCUUAAGUGGUCAAGCGGUAUUGAAAGUAACCACUUUAUCAUCUCCUCCUAUUAUCUUCCAGUUAUCUGUUUAAUGGGAUCCUUAUGUACGGGAAUGGGAAAAGAAAUAAAAUUAAGAUUAGUGGUGAUGAAAAGUCAGAAGAGGAACAAGCUAGACCUGAAGUAUAUACAACCUCAUUAUAGCAAAUUUUUUAAGUCAAAUGAUAGGGGCCCCAGGGCGCCUCAGUCGGUUGAGCAUCCAACUCUUAAUCUCAGUUCAGGUCAUGAUCUCACAGUCCUAAGAUCGAGCACCACUGUCAGGCUCUGCACAAAGCGUGGAACCUGCUUGGGAUUCUUUCUCUCCUUCUCUCUCCUCCCUCCCUCUCACUGUCUCUCUGAAAAUAAACAUUUUUUUUUUUUAAGUCAAAUGCUAAAGGAACCAAUUUAUAUUACAAAACUUUGAGGCCCCAAAUUUAGAGGAAUCAUCAAUGUAAGAUGUAUGCCAACAGGGCAUAAUGUCCAAUCCUGAAAUACUGUAAAUCCCUAAACAAAUGUAGAGACAAAAUUAAAUUCAUGAUUAUCAAUUCAGGAAAUCCUGUUUGAAAGAAAUUUCACAUAUAUAGAGAGAAGAGGUUCUAAAGUUGGGAAUGUAACCUCAAAUGACAAAUGUGCUAUAGAGCAAGAUUGGCAAAACGUGGCCCACAGAUCAAAUCCAAUCUGCCAUCUGUUUUUGUACAGAAUGGUUUUUACAAUUUUAAAUGAAUUUUUUUAAUUCAAAAGACGAUUAAUAUUUCAUGACAUGAAAAUGAUAUGAAAUACAAAUUUCAGUGUCCCCACAUAAAGUUUUAUUGGAACACAGCCACAUUCAUUUGUUCAUAGAUUGUUUAUGGCUGCCUUGGUGCUACAAUGGCAGACAUGAGUAGCUGGGACAGAGACCAUAUGGCCCACAAAACCUAAGAUGAUAUUUAUAUUAACUGUAUGGCCUGUUACAAAACAAGUCUGCCAAUCCUCCAGCUAUAGAAUAAAAAAAUGGUCCCACAGGCAAAGACUUCUUCAUGCCAUGAGACUGGCCAUUCUUUGUGAAAAAAGAUCUGAAAUUAGAUUUCAAGACCUACAAGGCACCUCUGACUGUAUGAUGGAUAUUAAAUGGGAGAGACUCUGGCUUCUGAUAGAGAAGUAGCAGUAGCCAGAUUUACCCUCCUACCGUAGACAAUCAAAAAACUGGAGUUAAUAUGUGAAACACCUGUUUUCAGCCAUUCUACACCAGGCAGCACAGGACUACCAUCUCUGAUGGUGGAGAAUCAAAAAGGUAAGCCUUAAGAUUGCCCUGACUUUCUGCCUAGAGGCACAUUCCAGAUUCUAGAGGGGAUGGGGGAUUCUAAGCAGGACAUAAUUGUUUUCCUAAGCUGAAAAGACACUGGAGAUCGAUCUGUCCCAGACACCAGGAGCUUGAGGCAGGUGAAAGUUGCAGGACAAAGUUCUGGAGGGGAGGCAGCUACACAGAAAAAAGAACUCCAAAAAUAUGCCCAGGGUCACCAAGUCUCUGCUUGAUACUAAGAUAUGCAUGUACAGGAUGAAACUCCAGGAGCUGGGCAAAGAAUGACCCAGGAGCUAUAGACAGUAUGGUUCCCCAGAGCUCACAAAGGCUGGGAACUUUUCAGUUUCCAUUAGCCGAAUCAGAGAGUCAUCACUGAUUACGCAGGGCAUUCAGUAGAGACACCAAAAGGGCCACACCUUAGUAGUAGAGCUAAACCAUCCUGGGGGAAAAAAAAAGAUACUUGAGACUAUAUAAAAUGUAAAAGACCUGAAAGGAUUAAACUGAACUACAAGUAAAUUAAUUACCAGGGGAAAAAAAAUCUUUAAAUGAAGACAAGAUCUAGGCACCCAACAACAUAAAAUACACAAUGUCUAGCAUCCAAUCAAAACUUACUAGAUGUGCAAAAAAAUAAAUAAAAAGGCAGAAGAAUGUGACCCAUAACUAGAGAAAAUUUUGUCAGUCAAUAGAAACAGAUCCAAAAAUUAUACAGAUAAAUGAGUUCCACAGACAAGGACUUUAAAAGAGCCAUAAAAACCAUGUUCAAAUAUUCAAAGCAGCCUUUCUCAAUUCUCCCAAGGAUGGUACACAGCUAGAACCACUCUAGAUGCACUGAAGAGAAAUUAAUUCAUUGCACACCACAGACAGGCAUUAGGCUCAAUUCUCUGGAAACUCAGUUGAGAGGGGCUGGAUAAGAGAAAUACAUGAGCAUAAUGGGAGAAAUGGAUGAUGUAAAAAAGAACCAAAUAGAACCUCUACAGGAAAAAGAAAACACAAGGUCUAAAAUAAAAAAAUUAAUUCAAUGUGAUUAAUAGCAGAUUAAAUAACUGGGGAAGAAAACAUUAGGGAACCUGAAGGUGUAGCAAUAAAAAGUAUUCAAAGUGAAGCACAGAGAGGGGAAAAAAAGUCAACUGAUAUAAAUUUAACCUUCAAACUGUGUUGCUACAAAUCAUCUAUUCAGAAUAAAAUGUUCUCCAUUAAAUCUGCCUAUUAUGUAGAUAAUCUCUUGUUAUCUGAGGUUACCUAUGAUAACUUUACAUUUUUCCCAAGGUGCCUGGGUGGUUCAGUCAGUUAAGUGUCCAACUCUUGAUUUCAGCUCAGAUCAUGAUCUCACAGUUGUGAGACUGAGCCCCUCAUGGGGCUCUGUGCCGACAUCAUGGAGCCUGCUAGGGAUUCUCUCUGCCCCUCCCCCAGCUCAUACACACGUGCACACACAUUCAUUCAUAUUCUCUCAUUCUCUCAUUCUCUCUCUCUCUCUCUCAAAAUAAAAAGAAAUAAACAUUGUAAAAAAUCCCAACUGAAAGUCCUAACAAAGACAUGCGAUGGUGCUAUAAUACCAAAACCCACAGGAUAAAUAUGGUACCUUCCUGGGCAGUAAUUUUAAUUAGUAUUCAAAUAAAUGUAUGCGCUUUGCCUCAGCUGCUUUAGGCUUUGUCUUCAGUGGUAUCUCCUUUAGAUAUAGGGGUUUCUGUCAGGAGCACUUCAUAGAAAAAGUUUAAGAAAUGCUGACUUAAUAGUCAGGAAACCCCUAAGAACACCAAGCCAUUUCACUUCAAGUUCACCUGCCAGAUAACCAAUAUGAUUUUUAGAUUCAAACCCUAGGGCACUGUUGGGAAAAGGCACAGGGCUAGCUACUAAAAUAAGUUUCUUCCAACACUCAUUCCUUUGAAAAACCACCCAAAUAACAAGUCAUCAAACCUUCUCUUGUGAUAACAGAUCAGUUUUAAUUCUAGCACCUGAAGCUAUACAAGGGUACGCUUUAUCAACUUCACGGGGCUGUUGUACACAUUCAAUAAAGUGACAACCGUGCAAUACCACUUAGUAUCUCACCAUCAGGAACAUACUUCUGAAUUGUUGAAACACAAUCCACAAAAUUAAAAACAAAAAUCAGAAGCCAUCCACAGUUAUACUAAUCGUCAAAGAGAAGUUUUACACUUACUACUUGAUAGAACAGUCAAUACCUAGUACGGGACAUCACAAGUGACUUCAGAUUCUCACCCUGUUGUCGUCUACGGAGGAGGUUUCUCAAGCAGGUGUGUGACUGGCCAAAGGCGGGAGCCACCAGGACCAGGACCGGGAUGGCAAGGACAGCUCUACCACAGUUUCUGUAGUUUUCACUGUUUUUUUUCUUUGUCAGUUAAAAGUGAACAGUGAGAAUUAAAUACUUAUCUUUACAUAUACACAAGGUAUGCUGUGAAAGCAUAUUUGCUUACAAACAUAUAAAAAUACUUGUUAACUAGUUUGAUAAGAAAAUAAUGUAUAAAAGUAUAUAGCAAAAACAUUAAUCAUCUCUGACCCCGGAAAGAUCAAUUCCAUAUUUUAUAUUACAAACAAAAACAGUUUUAGUUUUUUUUGAAUCCCUUAUCCAGAAAUACUUGAAAAGGAAGACAGACAGAAAUUAUUUAUUUUUACUCUCAACAUGGCUGUGAAAAGAGUUAACUUAAAAAGCCAAGAACAUUGAAAUGCCUAAAUGCAGAAUAAGUCCAAAUAUUUGGCCACAAAGAACAUUAUUAUCAUCUUUAGGAGUGGAGCUGUAAUAAAUGCUUUAUACGCUGUUUUUAAUCUAUAAACAUAACAGGCAUUUUGGUAUUUUGGCCACUGGAAAACAAAGGCUGUAGCAUCAGCAAAGGUCUGAGAUGUCUCACUUCUGUGGAUUCAAUUCAGUGUACUUAAGGUUAACUAAAGUUGACAUCAAAAUUUUUAGAGAUAGGCAAAAAUUCACAUUUAAAAACAACUCAUGUUUCUAUUUAGAGUAACAAUAGGCAAUAUGAUUCCAGAAGUUAAAAGUUAAUUUCACAACCUAUGACUUCAGCUUGGCAAACAGCUUAGGUUCCAAAACUGAUUCAUCCCUAUUAAAAUGUAAGCCCUUAAAAAAGAAUAUGUCUAUGUAUAUAGAUCAUUAUUUUUAAGAAAUCAGAUAAUCUUUGAAGCAGCCUUAGUGUUUCCUUUAAAUGUGUCUUGAAAUGACCAUAGGAUUAGCUUCACGGAAAGGAUUAGCCAGCUUCUUGGUCUAAGGCUACCACGGUGAUCAUUUGUGUCUAAGGCUAGAAAGGUACCAACACGAUGUGAUGUAAACCAUAAGGAGAGGAGGAGACGAUGAGGGCUUUUCCUGGCAGUUGGUAGCUAAAAUUCAAGGGAUUCUUAGAAAAUGACACAAUGGCAGCCUUUCUUGUCUUUUUCUUUCCGUGUUGGUUCUGGUGAAGGAGGACAUUCCUGCUCUUGAAAUUUCCUGUAAGACAGAAAAAUCUAUAUAAAAAUCUACCCUGCUGGUAACAUAUUAUUACAAAUAUAUUCUUUUUGGACAAGUCUAGUUUAUGUGCAUAUGCUUCUCAAUGUUGAAUUUCACCUAGGGAAUCGAAGCAAAUCUCGGGGGGAGAGGCACAAGUGUUUCAACACCAGCAUAAAGCAGAGCUAUCUGGGGGCGCCUGGGUGGCGCAGUCGGUUAAGCGUCCGACUUCAGCCAGGUCACGAUCUCGCGGUCCGUGAGUUCGAGCCCCGCGUCAGGCUCUGGGCUGAUGGCUCAGAGCCUGGAGCCUGUUUCCGAUUCUGUGUCUCCCUCUCUCUCUGCUCCUCCCCUGUUCAUGCUCUGUCUCUCUCUGUCCCAAAAAUAAAUAAACGUUGAAAAAAAAAAAAAAAAAAAAAAAAGCAGAGCUAUCUGAGCUCCACUCAUAGGUGAGUCUGGAAUCAGAUGAGAUACUGAACUCAAUGACCUCUAAGUUCCCUUCCCACUUUGUAACUCCAUUAACAGUAAGGUAUACUUAAGAACAGACAUCCAGGAGCGCUUGGGUGGUUCAGUGAGUCAAGCAUCUUACUCUUGGUUUAGCCUCAGAUCAUGAUCUCCCAGUCUGAGAUGGAGCCCUACAUCGUCUGCUUAGGAUUCAUUCUGCCUCGUCCUGCCCCUCUCCCCUGCUAGCGCUCUCUCUCCCAAAAUAAACAUUAAAAAAAAAAAAGCAACCAUUGCUAGAGUAAAAUAUAAAGUACAUACCCAUACAAGGUACACAGUUUCUAUUCCUGUUUUGCCACUUACUAGCUACAAGUCAGCACUGGACAAGUUAGCUGACCUCUGUGAACCUCGGUUUUUUCGAAGAGAAUAAUAAAACUCUACCUUUCACAGUUGCUAGAGGUUUAAACGUGAUCUUGUUACGUUUAAAGGCCUAUCAGUGGCUGGCAUAAAAAAGCCUUCCCUAGGGGCUCUGGCUAGCUCAGUGAGGAAAGCAUGUAACUCUUGAUCUCAGGAUCAUGAGUUCAAGCCCCUGUUGGCUGUGAAGCCUACGUAAAAUAAAAGUAAAAUUAAAGUAAUUUUGUUAAUUGCCGACUCUACCCACUUCUCCAGAUUAAAUGGAUUUGGAUAUAGAUUCUGAGGAUCAAAACCAAGGACAAAGCAUUCAAAAGGCAGUAAACGUUAUUUUAAGAAGGUAACGGUUUGUGUGCGCAUGCACAUGUGUUAAAAUACAUAACAGAACUUGACAUCUUAACCAUUCUUAAGCAUACAGUCCAGUGGUGUUAAAUAUAUUCACAGUGUUACUACUACCACCAUCCACCUCCAUAACUGUUUACAUCUUGCAAAACUGAAACUCUGUUUUCAUUCAAAAACAAUGGAACUUGCACUUUUAACAAACCACUAAAAAUAUUAAAAACUAUAAUCUUUACUUUCCUUUCCCCACAAAGAGAAUGCCCAGGCAAGGGGUUAAAAAAAGUACAGGAAGCCCAUAGCUCCACGUUUCUGUCAAGCAGAGAGACCUGCAGAUCUAGAGAGAGCCCACGGGGAAGGAGGCACCAAGCCACCAAGAUUAAAAAUAAUCAAAUCAGGGGCGCCUGGGUGGCGCAGUCGGUUAAGCGUCUGACUUCAGCCAGGUCACGAUCUCGCGGUCCGGGAGUUCGAGCCCCGCGUCAGGCUCUGGACUGAUGGCUCAGAGCCUGGAGCCUGCUUCCGAUUCUGUGUCUCCUUCUCUCUCUGCCCCUCCCCCCUUCAUGCUCUGUCUCUCUCUGUCUCAAAAAAAAAAAAUAAAUAAACGUUAAAAAAAAAAAAUUAAAAAAAAAAAUAAUCAAAUCAAACCCCUCCCACUAUACGGAAACUCAAUCUUUCUCACACAGAAACUAACUCCAGGCCACCUGCCCUUCACCUCAAGCUUCCUGGAACCAUUAACACUUUCUGAAGCGCAGGGGCCUUCUAGGCCAGCAGAACAGAAAAACCCUUUGUUAUGAGGGAUAUCAUACUUCACACCACGAAUGGGAGCACCUGGAGCACCGCAUCUCUACUACCUGGCUCCCGCAGCCUGGGAGGAGGUGGGGCAAAAGCAAAGCCUAAGAACACAGGCUCUGGAAUCAGAGACACAGAUUCAAGUCCCAGCCCUGCCAUUUAAAGCUGAAACUCUGAACAAGUUAGCUAACCUCUCUAUACCUGCUCUCCCAUCCAAAAGUGGGGAUAAAUGAAAGUAUUUCGCUUACUGGGUCGUGGUGAAAUUUAAAUGUGGUAACACAUGUAAAGCAUCAGACACAGUAUCUGGCAGAGAUCUCCACUCAAAUGUUAGCUGUUGUCAUCCCUACCUUCGUACCACUGAUACCACUGGAAGUGGUGUAGGUUGUGUGUGCAAUUUUUUUUUUUAAUCCCUGUGUGUACUCUCUACUUCAAUAUAAUUAAAUCUGGCUUUAUAUGUAGCAAGUUCCUAGUAUACAAUAUGUACUUAAUUAAAAUUUUUAACCUGUCAUGUGCACAGAAGCAUUUAUACAUAUAAUUUCCUGUUUCUUGCUAAAAACAUUUAAUGGUAAUUUCUUUCUUACUUGGUGGUUUUAAAAAGCAGUGUGGUUAACUGUAAAAUUCUGUAAGUUAAAACAAACAAACACAUCGUAGAUGUGUUUCACUUACCUUAUAACCCGGACAAGUUCAUGGAAAGCUUGAUCUACAUUCAUCCUAAUCUUUGCUGACGCCUCCAUGUAUGUUACCUUAAGCUGUCGUGCUAACUGUUGUCCUUCUUCCUGUGUUACCUGAAAUUCCAAGAGUUGUAUCUGAGGUACAGAAUUAAAAAUCAGAUCUGCUCCAUCUAACCCUAUGGCCACAGACUGCUCUCCUAAUCUAGCCAGAGGCCAAGCUGAUUUGUCUUAAGAUAAACCAACAGACUUAAAAGCUCAACACAUAUUGAAGCCCAGCUCUGAAGAACAACCCAGAAGAACAUACCUGUGACGAAAUAUUACCAUGCAACAAGAUUCCAGUCUGGUGAUUACUCAAAGUAUUAAAUACAAUGGUGAUAAUUCUGGUAAGAAAAAGUACAAGGUGCUAGUAGAAUCUAUAACACUGCUGGGCAGAUCAGGGAAAGCUUCCCCGAGGAAUGACAUUUAAACUAAGAACCAAAUAAAGAGCAAGGAGUUGGUUAAGGGUGGGGUAAGAGAGUAUCCCUGACAAAACAAAGGGCCUGUGUGAGGGCCAUGGACGGGUGGUGUCCCAAGUUCCAAGAACUAAAAGAAGUCUAGAAAAGCUUAAACACAACAAGGCAAGAGAGAAAACUAUCACGAAGAGCUGAGGAUGAAGAGGACGGAAGCCUCAAGAGACUGUGGGUCUUCCUCAUCUCAAAACUCCCUAAUACCUGGUACAUAGGAGACACUCAAUAAAUGUGAGAAAAAAUGAAUAAUGAUUAUGAUCACAAUGUCUUUGUUAUAUUGAGACAAGAAGUGUGGCAGAGCUGAUGACCUAAAAUGGUAGGCCCGUCAGAAACAUAAAAUGAAUAUAUAUUAUCCUACACAUUUUCAGUGUAAAAGGUUGAAGUAGUGAUAUUUACUAAAACUGUUAAACUAAAUUACAUUUACAUAGUGUGAAUGAAAAAGAUCUUUCUAAAAGAAUGACUUCUAUUGCUGUCUUUGCCACAAAAGUAAACACUUGCAGAAAGUUAGAAAAUGUCAACUGGGGAAAGGGAUAGAUUAAGGAACCUAUCUCUUCUGGUCUCUUUUCAACGAUGGAUAUUCUUCUCUACAAAAAUGGGAACAUGAUUUUUGUAUAUUUGUGUUAUACCCUGGAAAUUGUUAAACUCACUUAUCUGGAUGUUCUUUUGUAAAUUCCAUAGGCUUUUCUAGAUGAACAAUCAUGUCAUUUACUAAUAAAGACAACUUUGUUGCUUUCUGAUAUGGAUGCCUUUCAGUUCUUUUUCUGGCCUCACCUCACUGCGUAGACCAUUCAGUGCAGUGACAGCAGCAUUCAGUCCUUCACCAUUAAGCACACUAUUAGUUGUAGGGUUUCACUGAAGAUGCCUUUUAGCGUGUUAACAAAGUUUCUGCUAUUCCAUUUGUAAAGAGUUUUUAACAGUAUGUUGAAUUUUCUCAAAUCUUUUUUUGUUCUGCAUCUACUGAGAUCAUAAUCUUUCCACAUUAGUCUGUUAAUCUGGUGAACUGUGUUGAUUCAUCUUUGACUGUUAAAUCAACACUGCAUUUCUGGAAUAGACCCCACCUGAGUGAUGAUGCACUGUCCUUUUCAUAUAUUGUUAAAUUCUAUUUACUAAAAUUUUAAGAAUUUUUACAUACAUGUUUGCAAGAAUUAUUGGACUGUAGUGUUCAUAAAUUUUUGUCUGGCUUUGGUAAGCCAGAGUAAUGCUGGCUUCAUAUAAGGAGUUGGAAAGAAUUCUCUCAUCUUCAAUAUUCUGGAAUACUUUCAGCAAAAUCAGUUUGGUAUAAUUUACCGAUGAAUCCAUCUGGACCUGAGGUUUUCUCCGAGGGAAGGUUUUUAUAACCAGUUGAAUUUAUUUUAUAGAUACAGUACUAUUCGUGUUAUCUAUUUUUUUCAUGAGUUUUGAUAUUUUGUGCACCUUUUAAGAAAUGUCCAUUUCAUCUAACUUGUUGAAUUUACUGGUAUAAAGGUUCUUUAUAGUAUGGUAUUUCUUUUUAUAGUAUUUAUUAUCUUUUCAAUAUCUUUAACAUCUGAAGUGAUGGCACCUCUCCUAUUACUGACAUUGGUACUCUGUGCCCUUUGCUCUUUUUAACCUGGUCAUUCUGGGUAGAUUUGUCACUUUGAUCUUCUAAAAACUAGGUUUAUCUUUCUAUGGUUUUUCUAUUUUCAAUUUUGUUAAUUUCCACCCUUUAUUAUUUACCUUCUUCCAAUUACUAUGUCUUUCAUUUGCUCUUUUUCUUCUAGUUUCUUAAAGUAGAAGCCAGUCAUUGAAUUGAGACCUUUCCUUUUUUCUAAGAUAACUAAUGCUAUGAAUUUCUCUUUAUUUUCCUCUUUGGUAGCAUCCAAAAUUUUGAUAUGUGUUCUAAAUAUCAUUCAGUUCACAAUACUUUGCGAUUUCCCAUUUGAUCAUUUCUUUAUAAGAAGGAUAAAUUAGAAGCUUGUUGGUUUCCUCAUAUUUAGAGGUUUCCUAGCUAUGUUCUGUUACUGGUUUCCAAAUUAAUUCUCCACCAUGGUCAAGGAACAUACCUGGUCUCACCAGAAUCCUUUUAAAUUUAUUGAGACUUGUUCUCAUUUCAAAAUAAUGUGUAUUCUGCUAUUGUUGGGUGGGGCAUUCACUAAACGUUCAGAAUAAUUUGUUCAACAUUGCUGUUCAAGCCACCCAUAUCUUAUUGGUUUUCUUUCUAUUCAAUUAUUGAAAAGGGAUGUUGAAAAUUCUGACUGUUAAGUGUGAACAUGUCAAUUACUCUUUGCAGUUCUUUCAAUUUUGCUUUAAGAAUUUUGAAGUUGUGGUGUGCCUGGGUGGCUCAGUUAGUUAAGUGUGUGACUCUUGGUUUGGCUCAGGUCAUGAUCUCCCGGUUCUUGAGUUCGAGCCCCGGUUCAGGCUCUGUGCUGACAGUUCACACCUUGGAGCCUGCUUUGGAUUCUCUCUCUCUCCCUCUCUCCCUCUCUCUGCCCCUCCCCCACUCAAGCUCUGAUUCUCUAUCAAAAAUAAACAUUAAAAAGAAGAAUUUUGAAGUUGUUAUUCAAUAUAUGAAUGUUUAGGAUUGUUAUGUUCUUAAUGAAUUAAUCUCUUUUUCAUUAUAAAACAAUCCUCUUUAUUCCUGGUAGGUUUUUUGCUCUGAAAUCGACUUAGUCUGAUAUUUAUAUUGCCACUUCAAGAGGCUUUCCAUUAGUAUCAGCAUGGUAUAUCUUACCCCAUCCUUUCACUUUUAACCUAUUUGUCUUUUACACUGAAAGUAGAUUUCUUGUAGGGUCUUGUUUUUUGGGGGUUGUUUUGUUUUGUUUUGUUUUUUAAUCCAAUUUGACAAUGUUUGCCUUUUUUUUUUCUUUUUAAAUGUUUAUUUUUGAGACAGAGACAGAGUGGGUUAGGGGCAGAGAGAGAGGGAGACACAGAAUCCGAAGCAGGCUCCAAGCUGUCAGCACAGAGCCCAAUGCGGGGCUCGAACUCCCGAGUCGCGAGAUCAUGACCUGAGCCGAAGUCGGACGCUCAACCGACUGAGCCACCCAGGUGCCCUGACAAUGUUUGCCUUUUAAUUGAGGUGUUCACACAAUCUACCACCAAUGUGAUUACCGUCAUCACUGAAUCAUCUUGAUAUGUUUCCUAUCCAUCCUAUUUGUUCUUUAAUCUGCUUAUUCUUUUUCUAUUUUCUUCUGGGUUAACUAUAUUGCUUUUAUGAUUCCAUUUUAUGUCCUUUGUUGGCUAAUGAAGUACGUACCAUGUUAUUUUAAUGACUGCCUUAGAGUUUAUAAUACACAUUUUCACUCAUCAAAGUUCAAAUGCAUUCUGCCCAUUCACAUAUAGUAUAAGAGGCUUACUACAGUAACACAUUUCUCCUUCCUACAUUUUGUUAUCUUUUACUUCACAACAGAGUGUUACCUUUUUUUGCUUUAAACAUCCAGAGUAUAUUUUAAAGAGACAAAUAACAAUAAAAGUAAUUUAUAUUUACUCACAUAAUUGCCAUUUCUGGUGGGUUUGUUUUUGUUUUUUGUAUAGAUCCAAACUGCCAUUUGGUAUAAUUUUCCUUCUUUUUACAUUUCUUAUAACACAGUUCUGCUGGUAAUAAAUCUUCUCUUCCCACCUUUUGCAUAUCUGUGGAGUAUUUCACCUUCAUUUUUUGAAACAAAUAUUUAAUGGGUAUUUAAUUCUAGACGAGUUUUCUUCUCUCGGUACGUGAAAGAUGUUGUGUCACUAUCUUCUGCCUUGAGUCGUUGCCCAUGAGAAACAGUGGUGACCACUGCCAUCCUUAUCUUUGUUCCUCUGUGCGUAGUUUUCUUUUCCUCUGGUUAUCUGUCACGUUUCCUCUUUUUCGCUGGUUUCAGACAAUUCCAUUUUAAUUUGUCUCAUUCUAAUUUUCUUCAUAUUUCUUAUGUUCAGGGUUUGUUGAGCUUCUUAAAUGUAUGCAUUUUACAGUUUUCAUCAAAUUUAGACAUUUUCCAGCUGUUGCUUCUGGCUAUUAAUCCCAUCCAGGGUAUUUUUCAUCUCAAACAUUGUAGUUUCAAUUUCUACAAGUUUGAUUUUGAUCUUUCUCUAUCUUCCAUGUUUCUCCCUAACAUACUCAGUCUUUUCUCUAGCUUCUUGAACAUAUGGAAUAUAGUCAUAGAACUGCUUAAGGUAUCUGUUCACUAAUUCUAUCGUGUGUCAUUUCUGGGUGUGUUUCUACUCCUUGUUUUUUCUCCUUAUUAUGAGUCAUAUUUUCCUGCUUCUUGCUUGGUAAUUUGAAUGGAUGCCUGGGUACUAGACUUUGACCUACU
rnacentral:lncRNA from 1 species